GAUGAACGCUGGCGGCGUGCUUAAUACAUGCAAGUCGAGCGGACGGACGAGAAGCUUGCUACUCGAGUGUUAGCGGCGGACGGAUGAGUAACACGUGGAUAACCGAACUAUAGGACUAGGAUAACUUCGUGAAACCGGAGCUGGUACCGGAUACUCUUUUGAGCCGCAGGGUGCAAAAGUGUUAGACGGUCUUGCUGUCCCCGAUCGAUCAGUCCGCUCUGGAUGGGCUAGUUUGUCAGGUAACGGCUUACCAAGGGAACGAUGGAUAGCCGACGUGAGAGGGUGAUGGGCGACAGUGGAACUGGGCGACGGCCCUGACUCCGAGGGGAGGCAGAAGUAGCGAAUGGUGCGAGAUGGGCGAAAGACUGACGGAGCAGCGCCGCGUGAGUGAUGAAGGUCUUCGUAUCGUAUAACUCUGUUAGUAGGGAAGAACAUAUGUGUAAGUAACUGUGCACAUCUUGACGGUACCUAAUCAGAAAGCAACGGCUAACUACGUG
rnacentral:rRNA from 1 species